rnacentral:misc_RNA from 1 species
CUAAGGAAGCAGCGGAUAUGGAGAGUAGAAAUACUAAGAGAAGUAUCCAAAGCAAGCGGAAGCACACUGAGAAACUUUGUUUAGUUUUGAGGGCAUUAGCUCUCAGAGUUAGCACAUUGAAAACUGAAUACAAUCCAAGCAAAAACCGAGACAAUCAAAGAAGAGAUUGAAGAGCGACCGAGAAGAGAGAUUCUGAGUAAG